rnacentral:rRNA from 1 species
UCCGAUCUCACGCGACGACGGGUAGCCGGCCUGAGAGGGCGACCGGCCACACUGGGACUGAGACACGGCCCAGACUCCUACGGGAGGCAGCAGUGGGGAAUAUUGCACAAUGGGCGAAAGCCUGAUGCAGCGACGCCGCGUGAGGGAUGACGGCCUUCGGGUUGUAAACCUCUUUCAGCAGGGAAGAAGCGAAAGUGACGGUACCUGCAGAAGAAGCGCCGGCUAACUACGUGCCAGCAGCCGCGGUAAUACGUAGGGCGCAAGCGUUGUCCGGAAUUAUUGGGCGUAAAGAGCUCGUAGGCGGCUUGUCACGUCGGAUGUGAAAGCCCGGGGCUUAACCCCGGGUCUGCAUUCGAUACGGGCUAGCUAGAGUGUGGUAGGGGAGAUCGGAAUUCCUGGUGUAGCGGUGAAAUGCGCAGAUAUCAGGAGGAACACCGGUGGCGAAGGCGGAUCUCUGGGCCAUUACUGACGCUGAGGAGCGAAAGCGUGGGGAGCGAACAGGAUUAGAUACCCUGGUAGUCCACGCCGUAAACGUUGGGAACUAGGUGUUGGCGACAUUCCACGUCGUCGGUGCCGCAGCUAACGCAUUAAGUUCCCCGCCUGGGGGAGUACGGA